GACGAACGCUGGCGGCGUGCCUAAUACAUGCAAGUCGAGCGAAUCAUGAGGUGCUUGCACCUCUUGGUUAGCGGCGGACGGGUGAGUAACACGUGGGCAACCUGCCUGAAAGACUGGGAUAACUUCGGGAAACCGGAGCUAAUACCGGAUAAUCCUUUUCCUCUCAUGAGGAAAAGCUGAAAGUCGGUUUACGCUGACACUUACAGAUGGGCCCGCGGCGCAUUAGCUAGUUGGUGAGGUAACGGCUCACCAAGGCGACGAUGCGUAGCCGACCUGCGAGGGGGCUCGGCCACACUGGGACUGAGACACGGCCCAGACUCCUACGGGAGGCAGCAGUAGGGAAUCUUCCGCAAUGCACGAAAGUCUGACGGAGCAACGCCGCGUGAGCGAUGAAGGCCUUCGGGUCGUAAAGCUCUGUUGUUAGGGAAGAACAAGUACCGGAGUAACUGCCGGUACCUUGACGGUACCUAACCAGAAAGCCACGGCUAACUACGUGCCAGCCGCCGCCGUAACAC
rnacentral:rRNA from 1 species